UCAGUGGUGAAAUCUCCCGGCUCAACCGGGAAAUUGCCAUUGAUACUGCAGGGCUUGAAUUAUUGGGAAGUAACUAGAAUAUGUAGUGUAGCGGUGAAAUGCUUAGAUAUUACAUGGAAUACCGAUUGCGAAGGCAGGUUACUACCAAUACAUUGACGCUGAUGGACGAAAGCGUGGGUAGCGAACAGGAUUAGAUACCCUGGUAGUCCACGCCGUAAACGAUGGAUACUAGCUGUUCGGAGCAAUCUGAGUGGCUAAGCGAAAGUGAUAAGUAUCCCACCUGG
rnacentral:rRNA from 1 species